rnacentral:rRNA from 1 species
AUGUCAGCCGGCCAGCCGAGGAAGCGGCCGCCGAACGCGCCCCCGCCCAACCACCACCACCAGCAGCAGCACAGAUCGAGCAAGCGGCCCAGGCCCCACAUCGAGCAGCCGCCCCGCUCCCCGCUGCUCACCCUGAGCUCCCACAUCCACCUCCGCUGGGAUGACCGCGCCAGGCGGGCCCUCCCCGCCGACGACCAGAUCGGCAUCCCCUGGCGCCAUCUCGCGCCCUUCCUCGACUCCCCGCCCCGCGCCCCUCGCACCCUCGCCGACGUCGCCACCGUCCCCAGGCGGAUUUUCUCCCUCGCCGACAUCCCUCUCCUCGGUGGGGUCUUCUCCUACGAGGUCUGGGACGCCUGCCUGACGGAGGCCGACAGGAGGUUCCUUGCUCGGUUUCUUCCGGCAGGGUCCGACGCCGAGGAAGCAGUGCAGGAUUUGCUCACCGGGGAAAAUCACCACUUUGGGAAUCCCCUUGUAACCUGGUCCUCUGCUCUUUGCUGUGGUGAUCUUCACCCAGAUGCUGUCCUUAACAAGGAGCAGCAAAUCAGAGCUGAUAAGAAGGCAUAUCAUGCACACUUGAAGAACUACCACUCCGACAUGACUGAUACCGUCACGAGGUGGAGGGACAAAUGGUUGACUUGUGACAAUCCAAAAAGCUUGUUCAGGGAUAACCUUGCUAAACAGCGACGAGGGGACCGGCAGUCAUCCGGAGAAAAUGUCAUAUUUUCUAAUGCUCCUAAGAAUGCAAUACCCAUGAAGGUUGUACGAAACGGUGACGUCACAAAGUAUAUGUCAUAUAUUAAGGUCAGCAGGGCUCAGCAUGAUCUUGUUAAGAGAAUGAAGCAAUCUGGUGAUGGCAUUCAGACAAGACAUCUUGUUGGUGUUAUUGGUGAUAUUGACAACUUCCAUGUGAAACCAUAUGAGACACUGAUGGAGGAUGAGAAACAGAAACUGCACGAUCAUUGGGUCAUUCUGUCAUGUAAAGAACUCCCUGCUGCUUUCAAGGCCCGACGGGAAGAGAAGUUGAUUGCUGAGAAAUUAAGGAGGUCAUUGUGCCUUGAAAUUGCAGAAAGGAAUAUGUCUGAGGUGGAAAAGGCAGAGCAGUUAGGUGUCAGAACCGCAGAAGUUGAACAAGAUGGUGCUUAUCGAAAUGGUGGCACCUCAGAUGGACAGGAAGAACCGGUAGAGCACUCGCCUCAGGAUGUGCCGCAAUCCGGGAAUACUAGCAGUGCAGGUCUUGAAGAUGAAGAAGAUGCCAAUGAUACAAGUGAUACUACUGAUACAUCCACAGACUCUCAUGACAGCCCAAACACGACAGAUCAAGAGGGCAAUGAUACAAGUGAUACAGGUACAUCCACUGACUCUCAUGACGGCCCAAACGUGACAGAUCAAGAUGUUAUGGACAUGAAUAACACGAAUAUACCUACCCAGAGUCAGGGUACCUCAGACGAGCAAGAUGAAGAAGUUGAAAAGAUCAGCAGCACAAGUGCUAAAAGUGGCGACAGCUCAGACGCGCAAGAUGAAGCCCUUAUGGAUAUAAGCUGUAGGAACGGAAUCUCCCAGAGCGAUCCAGGCAUGGCAGAUGAUGAUAUGGAAGACACCAGCUGCAAUGAUACAACUCUCCAAGCAGAUAUGCAAUCUCAGGAGCCCAAGGCCAUCAGCGGCACGAUCUCACCUAUUCAAGGCCUCAACAGCUCAAAUAUGCUAGUUCAAGAUUGCAAGAAGACUGGCUAUAUAGGUUUUCCUAUUCAUGUUCAUGGCGGUUUCGAUGAGCGAACUGACGACUUGAAGAACAUGUGCUACCCGAGUGCCUCAACUGGACCUGACAAUAAAAAUGAGAUGAAUGGCAUGAUUCUUGAUCAAAGAGAGACUGAUAAUAUUACAAUGAUGCCCUCUGAUAGUACUUCGAGCAGACAAAAUAAUGCGAAAGGUCCUGAACUAAAAGGGCCUGCAAAAUGCCAGAAAGAAUUAUGGCAGCCAGCAAGUCCUGUGGAUUCCUUUUACCACCCUCCGGGGAAUGAUCUGUAUGCACAAUCAGGUGCCCUGCAGCUCAAACAUCAUCUCUCUGGAGGGCCAGCAACUUGUUUGAUUGACUUGGAGGUAGAUGACAGACGCAGACAGCAAGCUCAAAUCAGUGUUCCUGCUGCACAACCGAUGAGCAAUUCAGCAUCUCUGUUGCAACCAAGCACGAACCAGCUAAACGGUGAGCAGCUCCUAAAUGGCGUGAAGGGUGUCGGAAUGGUCCCCUCUUAUUCCCUGGGACAUGUGAACGGCAUGAAACAGUCUAUGGGCUUGCAUUCCAUGACAAACGGACACCUAGCUCAAUCUGGUCUGGCCCAAGAGCAGAUGCAGUUGCUUGGUGAGAGGCACAGCGGACUUUACUCGCAGCAAGUUGAGAACAACAUUAACAUGUAUCCCAGUGCAACGCUCUGUACUCAGAACAGCUUUCCUAUGGCCGAGCCCCAAAGUUUUGCUGGUCACGUGCCUGCGGAUCAGAGUCGCAGCUGGUUCCCUGAUGAGGACCAACCAUCACAUAAUAAUUGGUCUGGAAUGGGAUCAAACGGCGUCGUUUUAGGCCAGGAUCUGCCUGGCGGGGACGGGAGCCUUCUGAGCGUCCUGUCCCAGUACAAGCAGCAGGUAUCUUCACGCCCGCCGGGCUCUGACCAGCUGCUCCUUGGAGGAAGGAGGAAUCUAGUUGCUCCUCUUGGUGUUGCUGAGAACAUGGUUCCUUUAUCCACAGACAUGUAUGGGUACACCCAGAAUAAUGUGGCAGGCAGUCAGGUCGACAGCAAUCUGCAAUGGGCACAGGGAAUGACCCAUCCUUCUUCCUCUGCUGCUUGCUUCAGGCAGUUUGGUGGAGGGCCCUGGUCAAGAUAG